GUCCCCGUAGCUCAAAUGGAUAGAGCAAGCGUUUCCUAAACGCUGGAUUCCGGUUCAAUUCCGGACGGGGGCACCA
rnacentral:tRNA from 2 species